AUUGAACGCUAGCGGGAUGCUUUACACAUGCAAGUCGAACGAGUGGCGGACGGGUGAGUAAUAUAUCGGAACGUUCCCAGUAGCGGGGGAUAACUACUCGAAAGAGUGGCUAAUACCGCAUACUAUUUGAGCGGCCGAUAUCGGUUUAGCUAGUUGGUGGGGUAAAGGCUCACCAAGUCAACGAUCCGUAGCUGGUUUGAGAGGACGACCAGCCACACUGGGACGGAGAAACGGCCCAGACUCCUACGGGAGGCAGCAGUGGGGAAUUUUGGACAAUGGGGGAAACCCUGAUCCAGCCAUCCCGGUUGUAUGAGAAGGCCUUCGGGUGGUAAAGUACUUUCAGUCGGGAGGCGUUACCGACAGAAGAAGCACCGGCUAACUCCGUGCCAGCCGCCGCGGUAAUAC
rnacentral:rRNA from 1 species